rnacentral:ncRNA from 1 species
AUAAGAGAUAGAGGUUGCGAAAGACAAAAGUAAUCUUGUUGAUGGGACAGGCCCAUGUGAUACAGGAUGAAAGGGGAUUUCGCCGAAGGAGAGUAGCACCUGAUGCUGCUUGUCCUGGGCAUAUGGUUAAUAGCCACAUGACUGUCAUCUAAUGCAAUGUUUGUAGUAAUAGAUGGGGAGCUAUCAUAAGA